UACGUAGGGUGCAAGCGUUGUCCGGAAUUAUUGGGCGUAAAGAGCUUGUAGGCGGUUUGUCGCGUCUGCUGUGAAAUUUCGGGGCUCAACCCCGAACUUGCAGUGGGUACGGGCAGACUAGAGUGUGGUAGAGGAGACUGGAAUUCCUGGUGUAGCGGGUGAAAAUGCGCAGAUAUCAGGAGGAACACCGAUGGCGAAGGCAGGUCUCUGGGCCACUACUGACGCUGAGAAGCGAAAGCAUGGGGAGCGAACAGG
rnacentral:rRNA from 1 species